GGAGCCAGGAGGCUGGGAGGGGAGAAGGGAGGGAAGAAGCAAGUGCUGACCAGGAUGCUGAGAAGCUGCCAGGGUGGCAGCGCAGGCAUUUUGAAAACAGUCUGAAGUCUCCAAAAGAAAGGAAGCUAUAGUAUAAAGUUGCUGCCUCCAAAGAUGGAACAGAAGAGAAACUGGUCAUUGAAAAGACUAGCAAGAAAAGCAAAGUAUUUCAGAAGAGGACACUGGAAAAGUUGGCCUGAGGACAUCAUAAGAAAUGGAGGCCUCCAGCCUUUGCAGCCUCCAAGUUGCAAAGGUGAAAAAGACUUUGCUUUGAGAAGAGAGCCCCAGAGCACUAUGUUCCAGAAUGGCAGCAGCCUAGAGAAGUUGUUCCACAGGGUUGGGUUUAGAGUGCUCAGCAAUUCAGGCACUUGACCCCAACAGCCUAGAGAGAAGGAAGCCUGGCUACUGCUCCAGCUGAUGGCAGACCUUGGCAUCAUCCACGUGGUGCUGGUUUUAGGCCCAAGCAGAAUGCAAGAGUUGUGAGGUCAGGAAGGCUCCACCCUGAUUUCAGAAGGCCUAGAGGCCAGGCAGUGUGCCCCUGAGGGGCAGCAUGUGAAGCCCUGAGUGUGAAGCAGUGUAAAUCUCCAGUGGGGACUCCCGAAGUUUGGAGAAGCCAGGAACAUGGAUCAUCUGGGGAAAGGUACAAGAAGUGGGCAGAGCCAGCCCAAGACAGAGGCCAUGGGAGCUCCAAGCACCAGAAGUGCUGUAGGGGCCAAGCCACCCAAGCCCUUUGGCGUUCACAUCCACAGACUGCCUCGGACAGUGGAACUACAGGAAUUAAUGUUUGGCUUGCUGGAUUUUGGACUUGCUUUGGUCCCAUUCCUUUGUAUUCCCCUAUUUGCACCUUUUGGAAUGGUAAUGUUUAUCUUGUGCCAUUGAAUGUUAGAAAUGUUUAACUUAUUUGUACUGGGGCUCCCAGCUAAGAGUUUGCCUUAAAGCUCAGAGGACUUUGGACUUGGACUUUUCAGCAGUGCUGAAACUGUCAAGGCUUUGGCAACUCCUAGAGAUGGACUAAUGCCUUCUGCAUAAAGGGAUGAGCAGGAGUCUUUGAGGGGCCAGGGGUGGAACGUUAUGGUUUGUGUCUAGAUGCCCCACCAAAGCCUCAUGAGGUCAUAGGUGGGUGGAUCUUGAAUGUGUGAUGUUGGAAUCAAGGGUGUAUGGUUACUAAAUUAGUCCAUGAUUGGUUGGGCAUAGUUCUGCGUGUGGAUAAUGGGAAGGCUCACCCUGGAUAGAAUAUAAGGGACAGAAAGAUGGCUGCUUGUCACUUGCUGCUUCAUUGCUUUGCUGCCUUCUGCCUGCCAUGAACCACUUCUCCCCUGCGAUGCCCCUCCACCAGGCCACCCUGCAUUGGACCGGGCCAUGAAUUGAAACUUCUACAAGCUGUGGGCCAAAUCAACCUUUCCUCCUUUAACCCUGGGUGUUAGGUAUUUUGUCCCAGCAACGAGGAAAGUGAGUGAUAAGAAAUCUGUUUAAUCGCAGAUGUCCAGCCAUCUCUCUCAUUGGCACCUGAAAGCAAACCUUUCCUUGGCUUUCCCCCCUUGACUCUGUGGCUGCUCCACUUGCCCUCCUGCUCUUGAGCAUAGAAAGGAUCCACAGCAAGAGCCAGGAGCCACGACCUGUCUGUGUUACCAGGGAAGGGCUGAUGAGGCUGUUCUUGGACAUGGUGACAGGAGCCCUCGUAUGGAAGAUGCAGACAUCUGGUGGUAGCCAGCAGAAGACACUAUGCAACA
rnacentral:lncRNA from 1 species